rnacentral:rRNA from 1 species
ACUCAAAUGAAUUGACGGGGACCCGCACAAGCGGUGGAGCAUGUGGUUUAAUUCGAUGCAACGCGAAGAACCUUACCUGGCCUUGACAUCUGUCGAAUCCUGCAGAGAUGCGGGAGUGCCUUCGGGAACGAUAAGACAGGUGCUGCAUGGCUGUCGUCAGCUCGUGUCGUGAGAUGUUGGGUUAAGUCCCGCAACGAGCGCAACCCUUGCCCUUAGUUGCCAUCAUUAAGUUGGGAACUCUAAGGGGACCGCCGGUGACAAACCGGAGGAAGGUGGGGAUGACGUCAAGUCAUCAUGGCCUUUAUGGCCAGGGCUACACACGUGCUACAAUGGUCGGUACAAAGGGUUGCCAACCCGCGAGGGGGAGCCAAUCUCAGAAAGCCGAUCGUAGUCCGGAUUGCAGUCUGCAACUCGACUGCAUGAAGUCGGAAUCGCUAGUAAUCGUGAAUCAGCGAUGUCACGGUGAAUACGUUCCCGGGUCUUGCACACACCGCCCGU